GGUGAGGGCGCUACCAUGCAGUCGAACGGUAACAGGAAGCAGCUUGCUGCUUCGCUGACGAGUGGCGGACGGGUGAGUAAUGUCUGGGAAACUGCCUGAUGGAGGGGGAUAACUACUGGAAACGGUAGCUAAUACCGCAUAACGUCGCAAGACCAAAGAGGGGGACCUUCGGGCCUCUUGCCAUCGGAUGUGCCCAGAUGGGAUUAGCUAGUAGGUGGGGUAACGGCUCACCUAGGCGACGAUCCCUAGCUGGUCUGAGAGGAUGACCAGCCACACUGGAACUGAGACACGGUCCAGACUCCUACGGGAGGCAGCAGUGGGGAAUAUUGCACAAUGGGCGCAAGCCUGAUGCAGCCAUGCCGCGUGUAUGAAGAAGGCCUUCGGGUUGUAAAGUACUUUCAGCGGGGAGGAAGGGAGUAAAGUUAAUACCUUUGCUCAUUGACGUUACCCGCAGAAGAAGCACCGGCUAACUCCGUGCCAGCAGCCGCGGUAAUACGGAGGGUGCAAGCGUUAAUCGGAAUUACUGGGCGUAAAGCGCACGCAGGCGGUUUGUUAAGUCAGAUGUGAAAUCCCCGGGCUCAACCUGGGAACUGCAUCUGA
rnacentral:rRNA from 1 species